UACAGGGGGUGCAAGCGUUGCUCGGAAUCAUUGGGCGUAAAGCGCACGUAGGCGGUUCGUUAUGUCGGAUGUGAAAGCCCUUGGCUUAACCGAGGAAGUGCAUCCGAAACUGGCGAGCUAGAGUACGAAAGAGGAUCGCGGAAUUCCCGGUGUAGAGGUGAAAUUCGUAGAUAUCGGGAGGAACACCGGUGGCGAAGGCGGCGAUCUGGGUCGAUACUGACGCUGAGGUGCGAAAGCGUGGGGAGCAAACAGG
rnacentral:rRNA from 1 species